AGACAGAUACCAGGCUUCCUUCUUCACUGCCGAGCAACCAGAAGCCACCUUCCGCCCCAGGCCCCAGAAUCAGCCCGAGAAAGCUCUCACCAGCCCCGGGCCUCGAGGUCACAGCAACUACACAAGGCACUGAUUGUAAGGAAACCAAGAACCGACUGACUAUUGCCAAAGAGCAUUCAGAAAUUGCUGAC
rnacentral:lncRNA from 1 species